UUAAUAACCUAUGAUAUCCUAGAUAAUAUACGUGUGACAGUACUCAACCCUUUUCAACACACCUAAUAAUUAUUCAUCUUUUCUCCGUCAUCUUCUUCUCACCUUUAACUCUUUCUCUGAUUGCAACAACGAUUACAUAGACAUGGAGAUCAAUUUCUCUCCAUCUUAUUCUCUAUCAUUAACUUUUAUCAAUUUUUUGUCACCUCCUCUACGCCGUAAAACCGAGAGUUCGAAUUUCAAAUGUGUUCCUCCGACAUAGCUUCAAGCGAAUCCACCACACCUCCGGCGGACGAGCUCUUUUACAAAGACCAAAGCCUCGUUAAUCGGUGUGAAACGGUUAAGACAUACUCUUUGAAAUCUUAAUGUGUAUGAAAGGAAGAUGACGGACCCUUUGAAAUCUUCAACCAGUGUGAAACGAAGAAGACAAACUGAUUGAGCGGUGGACACAAUGUCUCUUGUAGAAGAAAUUGGAGAGCCCACCCUAGCUAAAACCCAUUUUUGGUCGGUAGCAAACGUGUAUGACAACAUGGUUUGAUAUAUCAGCAAAGGGCAAGUUUCCAAGAAGACUAUGUUUUUUUUUCUUUGAACACACAAGAAGACUAUGGUUAUGGACACUAAUUUCAUGUAUUUUCUAAAUGAUAAAUUAAUGUAACUCUAACAUACAUGUUAGCAAUUAGACCAAAAUAAUUCAUCUAGCGUCUAAUUUUUGUAACUCCCUAAACAGUAAUUAUUGUUCAACCAGUUAAGCCAAAGUGUAACUAUUGUAGACAAUACUAUUUCUAACUUUCUAUUUAUUAA